rnacentral:tRNA from 1 species
GGAUAUUGAAGUAAAAAUUUUACAUUUAGUUUCGACCUAAAAUUAGAAUAAACAAAUUCCUUAUCUU